GGGACUUAGCUUAAUAAAAGCAGUUGAGUUGCAUUCAAUUGAUGUGAGGUGCGGUCUUGCAGUCUCUAU